UGUGGGUCAGGAGUUAAGGCAGCAGCUGAAGAAGUCAAAGAUUCUUACAGAGCCCUCACAGCUGGGCUUACCCCUGCUGCCUGCCAUUUGGCUUCCAGCCCCUUCCACUGCUGUUUUUGUGGCCCCAGCAUCCCCAGGCUGGGCUUUCACCUGUAUUUAACAGCAUAUGGUAAACGUUAUACACAUCCCCCAUCCUCGGGGCACACGCAGGCAAGCGCCCAGCUCACCGUGUGAAUGCUCAGCUCAGAUUAGGGAGGGUUUUGCGACACAAAGCACCUACAACUCCAGAGCACGGCCCUGAGCGUGGAGGAUGCUCGGGACCCUUGGUGCUGGACUUUGCGCCCAGCACAGCCACAGCGGAGCUCCGCAGAGGCUCCCUCUCCUCCUCUCCCAUUUCCCAGGAGGACGAGCUGGCUGACAGCACCCCAGCCCGCUGCAGUGCAGUACCAAGCUCCCCCCUGCACCCAGCCAGCAUUUCACCACCCCAAGCGGUCCCGCCAACACCUCCCUCGGAGGCCUCAACGCACAAAAUGGCUGAGGACCAAAAAGCGCAUCCCAGCACCUUACCCGAGAAUAGCGUUAACAGCAAAAGGAGGGAGAAAAAAAAUAACAAAAGGCCCCAAAAAUCCUCUUGCUGGCGCUGACAGAGGCCCUAGCCACGAUGAAAAGCACGCAAACAGAAAAGCCACCAGCACCGAGGGGACACUGAGCGCCCAAACCUGCGCUGUGCCCGAGCCCAGGCCCGCAGAAGAGCCUGGUGGGACCGUGGAAAGUCCCAGAGGGAAGGGAGUUGCAGUAACACAGCGAUUUAUCUUGACCCUCCCUUCGCAAUCCUCUAAACAACGGGAAGUCAUCUGCCUGCCUUCUGCAGCAGUGCCUUCAGAGCCGGGCAUUUCUCCGCCAAGCGAUGGGGGCAAACGUGGUCAUUUCUGGCCAAAAACGGGGAGGCAGAGGGGAAACGGGCACCCUGGGACUGCUCCUUUGUUUACCGCUCCAUCUCCCAGCUCAGGAAGCCCCAGACACUGAUUAGCAUUUCCUUCUAGACACAUCUCC
rnacentral:lncRNA from 1 species